GCCGCGUGAGGGAUGACGGCCUUCGGGUUGUAAACCUCUUUCACCAGGGACGAAGCGCAAGUGACGGUACCUGGAGAAGAAGCACCGGCCAACUACGUGCCAGCAGCCGCGGUAAUACGUAGGGUGCGAGCGUUGUCCGGAAUUACUGGGCGUAAAGAGCUCGUAGGCGGUUUGUCGCGUCGUCUGUGAAAUUCUGCAACUCAAUUGUAGGCGUGCAGGCGAUACGGGCAGACUUGAGUACUACAGGGGAGACUGGAAUUCCUGGUGUAGCGGUGAAAUGCGCAGAUAUCAGGAGGAACACCGGUGGCGAAGGCGGGUCUCUGGGUAGUAACUGACGCUGAGGAGCGAAAGCGUGGGUAGCGAACAGGAUUAGAUACCCUGGAAGUCAA
rnacentral:rRNA from 1 species